GCCGCCGGCCGGGACCGAGACUCCCAGAAAGGGGCGGGGGACCGGGGAGCCAUCGGGACCCGCCACCGCGCUGCUCCCAAAGCCGGGGCGCCUGGAGCCGGCAGACGAGCCGAUAAUACAGAAGACGGCGUCGGCUUUAUUCCCAACAGACCAGGAUUUGCACCCUCAGAUGGGUUCCUUGUCAAGGCAGUCGUCCCGGAAGGCUGGCCACUAUUCCACACGUGCAGGGAUAAUUCCUUUCGGAAUCCUCCCGGGCUGUUUUCAGAAUAGCCUCGGGGUGGCAAUUCUCAGUCCUAACGGACCCAGGUAGGAUCCGGUCUGAUGAAGCCACUCAGCAGUCCCUGCGCCCACGUAGCCCCACAGCGCGGCGGCGCGGCCACGCCAGGGAGAAACAUACGUGACGCCUGCGAAAGAGAAACAGAAAUGAGAACACGUUCCCGGAAAGGAGAAGGACGCUGAUGGGAUCGAGGAAGUGGCACACCUGAAGUGGCUGGUGUGAAGGGGACAACCCUCAUUAAGAUGUCUGAAGAUCAAAUGACCCAGCAGUGGUCCCAGCUCAACGCUGUCCUCUGAGGAAGAUGCAGGCCAGGCUGGAGUUGGAGCUGUGCUGCGCCCAGGACAGAUACUCCCCACUGGGGCAGGAGAGGCCAGCCCACAUAAGCUCCCCAACGGCCUCUCUGCUUUCCCUGGGCCUGGCUUCGUCCUCCUCCACAGCACAUCUCACAGCCUGAAAUACCACGGGAUUGCUUGUUUGUGUUGGACCAUCUCAUCUCACUGGACAGGGACUUGUUUAAUUCAAGCUCUUGCCUUGUUGCCCAAAGCAGUGCCCAGUCCUCCUGGGUGCUCAACAGACAGAAUGAAUGUGUGAACAAGAAAAGCAUCAGGUCGGGGUAGGUGCUGUGCAGAAGACUAAACAGGGUGCUGGGAGGGCAGGCAACCCACUGGGUGGCUAGUGGCUCUAGUCAUCUAAGGAGGCGAUAUCUAAAUUGAUAUCGCCUUUUGGCUGAAAGUCAAAAAGGGACCAGAUGUGAUGAGGCAAAGAGCAUUCUGGACACAGGAAGCAUCUACUGCAAGCGCCCCAAGGCGGGAAGGCACUUGAGGUAGUGGGUGCACAGAAGGUGAGGGGAGGAGGGUGCAGGGUGAUGGCAGGGAGGCUCGGGAGCCUGGGUGAGGAGCUGGGAUUUCAUCCUAAACACGUCCAGUUGGCUCCCAGUCUUUGCAUCUCCUCUUCAGCUUUCUGCAAGCUGCUCCACCCCCCCAUCCCCCCAUCCCCCCCCACCCCCGGUUCUAAUUUGCUGCUUCUG